UACGUAGGGUGCAAGCGUUGUCCGGAAUUAUUGGGCGUAAAGAGCUCGUAGGCGGUCUGUUGCGUCCGCUGUGAAAACUCGGGGCUUAACCCCGAGCCUGCAGUGGAUACGGGCAGACUAGAGGUAGGUAGGGGAGAAUGGAAUUCCCGGUGUAGCGGUGAAAUGCGCAGAUAUCGGGAGGAACACCGGUGGCGAAGGCGGUUCUCUGGGCCUUACCUGACGCUGAGACGCGAAAGCGUGGGGAGCGAACCGG
rnacentral:rRNA from 1 species